GACGGUACCUGAAGAAUAAGCACCGGCUAACUACGUGCCAGCAGCCGCGGUAAUACGUAGGGUGCAAGCGUUAAUCGGAAUUACUGGGCGUAAAGCGUGCGCAGGCGGUUAUGUAAGACAGAUGUGAAAUCCCCGGGCUCAACCUGGGAACUGCCUUUGUGACUGCAUNGCUNGAGUGCGGCAGAGGGGGAUGGAAUUCCGCGUGUAGCAGUGAAAUGCGUAGAUAUGCGGAGGAACACCGAUGGCGAAGGCAAUCCCCUGGGCCUGCACUGACGCUCAUGCACGAAAGCGUGGGGAGCAAACAGGAUUAGAUACCCUGGUAGUCCACGCCCUAAACGAUGUCAACUGGUUGUUGGG
rnacentral:rRNA from 1 species